UCGGGUACUUUAGUGGCGAACGGGUGACUAAUACAUAGGUAACCUACCCUUAAGACGAGGAUAGCCAUUGGAAACGAUGGAUAAAACUGGAUAGGAUAUAGAGGAAGAAUCUUUUAUAUUUAAAAGAGAGAUCUGCUUAAGGAGGGGCCUGUGGCGCAUUAGCUAGUUGGUGGGGUAAGGGCCUACCAAGGCGAUGAUGCGUAGCCGGACUGAGAGGUUGAACGGCCACAAUGGAACUGAGAACGGUCCAUACUCCUACGGGAGGCAGCAGUAGGGAAUUUUCGGCAAUGGGGGGAACCCUGACCGAGCAACGCCGCGUGAACGAAGAAGUUAUUCGUAAUGUAAAGUUCUUUUAUCAGGGAAGAAAGAGGAAUUUGACGGUACCUGAGGAAUAAGCUCCGGCUAACUACGUGCCAGCAGCCGCGGUAAUACGUAGGGAGCGAGCGUUAUCCGGAUUUAUUGGGUUUAAAGGGUGCGUAGGCGGGAUGCCAAGUCAGCGGUAAAAAUGCGGUGCUCAACGCCGUCGAGCCGUUGAAACUGGCGUUCUUGAGUGGGCGAGAAGUAUGCGGAAUGCGUGGUGUAGCGGUGAAAUGCAUAGAUAUCACGCAGAACUCCGAUUGCGAAGGCAGCAUACCGGCGCUCAACUGACGCUCAUGCACGAAAGUGUGGGUAUCGAACAGGAUUAGAUACCCUGGUAGUCCACACAGUAAACGAUGAAUACUAAUUGUUCGGGGAGAAUGAUCCCUGAGUGAUACAGCGAAAGCGUUAAGUAUUCCACCUGGGGAGUACG
rnacentral:rRNA from 1 species